AUGAACUCCAUUUUGGGUAUAGAGGCGGCGCUGCGGUUGAUGGAGAGGGUGGUGACGCUGAUGAACAGUAUGGCCGACUUGGCCACUUCCAGCUCCAGCUCCAGGUCGUACGCGACCGGCGAGGUGGUGUUCGGUGACCAGGGUAUUGGCACUGUGUACGGGAUGCUGCAGUGCACGCUGGACCUCACCGGGCCACAGUGCAAGAGCUGCCUUGGCGACAUCACCAGGAAGAUAGUGAAGCUGUUCAGCAAUAUCAGCGACCAAGCCCAGAUCGGUGGGAGGAUUAUUGGAGUUCGCUGUAAUCUGCGAUUCGAGAAGAAACUAUUCUUCGAGGAGACAAAUGAUACUAUCAAGAUCGACAUGCCGAAUAAUGGACUGAGCACGGUGCUUAAGAUUAUCAUAUUUGGGGUUCCUCUUCUAGUUUUGCUCGUCAUUGGCUUGCUCCUAAGGCCAUACAUCGCGAAGAAAGUUAGAGAAUCGUUAUUGCAGAGGGAUCUAGUCAUCCUGAAAAAGGAAGUUGUAAGUAAAAGCGACUCAAGGUUUUUGUUGUUCAGCUAUCUGAAGAUAAGAAGUGCUACCGAUAAUUUCUCGCAAGAAAAUAAAAUUGGAGAAGGUGAUUUUGGUCAUGUUUACAAGGGACGGUUGCCUCACGAUCAGGACAUAGCAGUCAAACGACUUUCUCUGAAUUCUGUUCAAGGAUUCCGUGAGUUCAUGAACGAAAUCAAACUCAUAGCCAGCCUCCAGCACAAGAAUCUUGUCAGGCUUCUUGGAUGCUGCAUCAAAAGCAAAGAGAGAAUACUUGUAUAUGAAUAUAUGCCAAAUGGUAGCUUGGAAGAGUUCAUUUUUGGGCCAGGAGCAAAGCGGAGUUGGCCCAUGGAGUGUCGCCACAUAAUUGAAGGGAUAGCAGAAGGCCUUCUAUAUAUACAUGACUACGCGCACGAGUGCAUAGUCCACAAAGACAUGAAACCAAGUAACAUAUUACUAGAUCAUGAAAUGAAUCCAAAAAUUUCCGACUUUGGGAUUGCAAGGAUAUGCCUCUCUAAUGUAACGGAAUCAAAUACAACCACCGCCAUCGGAACAAUGGGAUACAUCGCGCCGGAAUACUGCUUCCAGAAUGUCUACUCAACUAGGUCGGAUGUUUUUAGCUUUGGCAUCAUAGUUCUCGAGAUCAUAAGUGGGAAGAGGGCCGUCGGCUCCUACCAAUUAUCCGGAAGAUCAUACUUGCUCAGAAAAUACGCCUGGCAACUAUGGAGAGAGCAGAGGUGUGAUGAGUUUGUCGAUCAUUCUCUGGGCGAGGAGUACCUAGAGGUGGACGUUAUGAGGUACAUCCAUGUUGCGCUCCUAUGUGUCCAGGAUAGCGCGGAGGACAGGCCUAGCAUGCGCGAUGUCACUACGAUGUUGAGUAACGGAAACAGAAGGUUGCUCCUGCCUGCACAGCCUGGUUCUUACCAUAUGAAUAUUGUAACCGAUGCUGAAAAGGAUCUCUGA
rnacentral:rRNA from 1 species